rnacentral:tmRNA from 1 species
UCUAUCUCAAUUAUGCCCCCGCAAGUGGGCUACGGUGCUAAACCUUAUAUGCAAUAGAUGUACAGGACGCGGCUUCGAAGCCGCCGCCUCCACCAAGAACAGCCGAAAGCGGCUGCUGUUGAUGGGGGCGAAAUGGGAUCGACUGGCAUUGAAAGAUAUAAGCUGUGCUCGGCAUGAUACCACCGUUAUCGGGUCAAAAAGUGUAGUUGCAAACGACAACAACGCUAAGGAAUACGCUCUCGCUGCCUAAUGGCGGUGCGGGAAUUCCGCUCUAAGUCCUUACGGUUAGCCCCGUAAGGCGGGGUUCGGAGGUACCUGGCAACAGAAACCUCCACCUUUCC